UGCCAGCCGUCGCGGUAAUACAUAGGGGGCAUGCGUUAUCCGGAAUUAUUGGGCGUAAAGGGCGCGCAGGCGGUCUUGUCCGUCAGGUGUGAAAGCUCGGGGCUCAACCCCGGAACUGCAUUCGAUACUGGUAGACUAGAGUUUGGGAGGGGUAAGCGGAAUUCCGUGUGUAGCAGUGAAAUGCGUAGAUAUACGGAGGAACACCUGAGGCGAAGGCGGCUUACUGGACCAAUACUGACACUGAGGAUCGAAAGCGUGGGUAGCAAACAGGAUUAGAUA
rnacentral:rRNA from 1 species